rnacentral:rRNA from 1 species
UCAGCCGCCGCGGUAAAACCAGCACCUCGAGUGGUCAGGAGGUUUAUUGGGCCUAAAGCAUCCGUAGCCGGUUGCAUAAGUUUUCGGUUAAAUCUAUGCGCUUAACGUAUAGGCCGCCGAAAAUACUGUGCAGCUAGGGAGUGGGAGAGGUACACGGUACUCGAUAGGAAGGGGUAAAAUCCUUUGAUCUAUUGAUGACCACCUGUGGCGAAGGCGGUGUACCAGAACACGUUCGACGGUGAGGGAUGAAAGCUGGGGGAGCAAACCGGACUAGAUACCCGGGUAGUCCCAGCUGUAAACGAUGCAAACUCGGUGAUGCAUUGGCUUGUGGCCAAUGCAGUGCCGCAGGGAAGCCGUUAAGUUUGCCGCCUGGGAAGUACGUACGCAAGUAUGAAACUUAAAGGAAUUGGCGGGGGAGCACA